AUUGAACGCUGGCGGCAUGCCUUACACAUGCAAGUCGAACGGUAACAGGUUAAGCUGACGAGUGGCGAACGGGUGAGUAAUAUAUCGGAACGUGCCCAGUCGUGGGGGAUAACUGCUCGAAAGAGCAGCUAAUACCGCAUACGACCUGAGGGUGAAAGCGGGGUAUCGCAAGACCUCGCGCGAUUGGAGCGGUCGAUAUCAGAUUAGGUAGUUGGUGGGGUAAGAGCCCACCAAGCCAACGAUCUGUAGCUGGUCUGAGAGGACGACCAGCCACACUGGGACUGAGACACGGCCCAGACUCCUACGGGAGGCAGCAGUGGGGAAUUUUGGACAAUGGGCGCAAGCCUGAUCCAGCCAUGCCGCGUGCGGGAAGAAGGCCUUCGGGUUGUAAACCGCUUUUGUCAGGGAAGAAAAGGUUCUGGUUAAUACCUGGGACUCAUGACGGUACCUGAAGAAUAAGCACCGGCUAACUACGUGCCAGCCGCCGCCGUAA
rnacentral:rRNA from 1 species